rnacentral:rRNA from 1 species
AACGAACGCUGGCGGCAUGCCUAACACAUGCAAGUCGAACGAGACCUUCGGGUCUAGUGGCGCACGGGUGCGUAACGCGUGGGAACCUGCCCUUAGGUUCGGAAUAACUCCCCGAAAGGGGUGCUAAUACCGGAUAAUGUCUUCGGACCAAAGAUUUAUCGCCUUUGGAUGGGCCCGCGUUGGAUUAGCUAGUUGGUAGGGUAAAAGCCCACCAAGGCGACGAUCCAUAGCUGGUCUGAGAGGAUGAUCAGCCACACUGGGACUGAGACACGGCCCAGACUCCUACGGGAGGCAGCAGUGGGGAAUAUUGGACAAUGGGCGAAAGCCUGAUCCAGCAAUGCCGCGUGAGUGAUGAAGGCCUUAGGGUUGUAAAGCUCUUUUACCCGGGAUGAUAAUGACAGUACCGGGAGAAUAAGCUCCGGCUAACUCCGU